rnacentral:rRNA from 1 species
AGUGAACGCUGGCGGUAGGCCUAACACAUGCAAGUCGAACGGCAGCACAGUAAGAGCUUGCUCUUACGGGUGGCGAGUGGCGGACGGGUGAGGAAUACAUCGGAAUCUACUUUUUCGUGGGGGAUAACGUAGGGAAACUUACGCUAAUACCGCAUACGACCUACGGGUGAAAGCAGGGGAUCUUCGGACCUUGCGCGAUUGAAUGAGCCGAUGUCGGAUUAGCUAGUUGGCGGGGUAAAGGCCCACCAAGGCGACGAUCCGUAGCUGGUCUGAGAGGAUGAUCAGCCACACUGGAACUGAGACACGGUCCAGACUCCUACGGGAGGCAUCAGUGGGGAAUAUUGGACAAUGGGCGCAAGCCUGAUCCAGCCAUACCGCGUGGGUGAAGAAGGCCUUCGGGUUGUAAAGCCCUUUUGUUGGGAAAGAAAAGCAGCAGGUUAAUACCCCGCUGUUCUGACGGUGCCCAAAGAAUAAGCACCGGCUAACUUCGUG